rnacentral:rRNA from 1 species
CAGUCGCCACGGUAAUACGUAGGGGGCAAGCGUUGUCCGGAAUUAUUGGGCGUAAAGCGCGCGCAGGCGGUCAUGUAAGUCUGGUGUUUAAUCCCGGGGCUCAACCCCGGAUCGCACUGGAAACUGGGUGACUUGAGUGCAGAAGAGGAGAGUGGAAUUCCACGUGUAGCGGUGAAAUGCGUAGAGAUGUGGAGGAACACCAGUGGCGAAGGCGACUCUCUGGGCUGUAACUGACGCUGAGGCGCGAAAGCGUGGGGAGCAAACAGGAUUAGAUACCCCGGUAGUCCCUGUCUCUUAUACA